GACGUAGGGCGCGAGCGUUGUCCGGAUUUAUUGGGCGUAAAGAGCUCGUAGGCGGCUUGUUGCGUCGACUGUGAAAACCCGCAGCUUAACUGCGGGCCUGCGGUUGAUACGGGCGGGCUAGAGUUCGGUAGGGGAGACUGGAAUUCCUGGUGUAGCGGUGAAAUGCGCAGAUAUCAGGAGGAACACCGGUGGCGAAGGCGGAUCUCUGGGCCAUUACUGACGCUGAGGAGCGAAAGCGUGGGGAGCGAACAGG
rnacentral:rRNA from 1 species